GGCUGAUCUGUUGGGCUCAGCAAUGUCUGUUUCCUCCUUCACUGCUGCGUGUGGGUUUCCCAAACCUGUGCGUUCCGUUGAAGAUGGUCUCCAAAAUCAGGACUAGUUAGAGUAAGUAAGUAGUUGUGCUAACCUAUAAAUGAACCAUUUAUAGGAGAAUAUGGGAUAGUCAUGUUCCCAAGACUGCAGGCACAUCAAAAUAAGGCUCUACUGUAGUUUUUGAUUU
rnacentral:snRNA from 1 species